rnacentral:rRNA from 1 species
CAGGUAGGACUACNCGCUGAACUUAAGCAUAUCAAUAAGCGGAGGAAAAGAAACUAACAAGGAUUCCCCUAGUAACUGCGAGUGAACCNGGAAGAGCUCAAAUUUUGAAUCUGGCGNUCUUUUCGG